rnacentral:rRNA from 1 species
GACGAACGCAGGCGGCGUGCCUAAUACAUGCAAGUAGAACGCUGAAGGAGGAGCUUGCUUCUCAGGAUGAGUUGCGAACGGGUGAGUAACGCGUAGGUAACCUGCCUGGUAGCGGGGGAUAACUAUUGGAAACGAUAGCUAAUACCGCAUAAGAGUAGAUGUUGCAUGACAUUUACUUAAAAGGUGCAAUUGCAUCACUACCAGAUGGACCUGCGUUGUAUUAGCUAGUUGGUGGGGUAACGGCUCACCAAGGCGACGAUACAUAGCCGACCUGAGAGGGUGAUCGGCCACACUGGGACUGAGACACGGCCCAGACUCCUACGGGAGGCAGCAGUAGGGAAUCUUCGGCAAUGGACGGAAGUCUGACCGAGCAACGCCGCGUGAGUGAAGAAGGUUUUCGGAUCGUAAAGCUCUGUUGUAAGAGAAGAACGAGUGUGAGAGUAGAAAGUUCACACUGUGACGGUAUCUUACCAGAAAGGGACGGCUAACUACGUGCCAGCAGCCGCGGUAAUACGUAGGUCCCGAGCGUUGUCCGGAUUUAUUGGGCGUAAAGCGAGCGCAGGCGGUUAGAUAAGUCUGAAGUUAAAGGCUGUGGCUUAACCAUAGUACGCUUUGGAAACUGUUUAACUUGAGUGCAAGAGGGGAGAGUGGAAUUCCAUGUGUAGCGGUGAAAUGCGUAGAUAUAUGGAGGAACACCGGUGGCGAAAGCGGCUCUCUGGCUUGUAACUGACGCUGAGGCUCGAAAGCGUGGGGAGCAAACAGG